rnacentral:rRNA from 1 species
CAGCAGUGGGGAAUAUUGCACAAUGGGCGCAAGCCUGAUGCAGCCAUGCCGCGUGUAUUGAAGAAGGCCUUUCGGGUUGUAAAGUACUUUCAGCAGUGAGGAAGGUGGGUAUGUUAAUAGCAUACUCAUUUGACGUUAGCUGCAGAAGAAGCACCGGCUAACUCCGUGCCAGCAGCCGCGGGUAAUACGGAGGGUGCGAGCGUUAAUCGGAAUUACUGGGCGUAAAGCGCAUGCAGGUGGUUUGUUAAGUCAGAUGUGAAAGCCCGGGGCUCAACCUCGGAAUUUGCAUUUGAAACUGGCAAACUAGAGUACUGUAGAGGGGGUAGAAUUUCAGGUGUAGCGGUGAAAUGCGUAGAGAUCUGAAGGAAUACCGGUGGCGAAGGCGGCCCCCUGGACAGAUACUGACACUCAGAUGCGAAAGCGUGGGGAGCAAACAGGAUUAGAUACCCUGGUAGG